rnacentral:rRNA from 1 species
UACGUAGGUGGCAAGCGUUGUCCGGAUUUACUGGGCGUAAAGAGCGCGCAGGCGGUCGUUCAAGUCGCGUGUGAAAGCCCCCGGCUCAACUGGGGAGGGUCACGCGAUACUGAUCGACUCGAAGGCAGGAGAGGGAAGUGGAAUUCCCGGUGUAGUGGGUGAAAUGCGUAGAUAUCGGGAGGAACACCAGUGGCGAAGGCGACUUCCUGGCCUGUUCUUGACGCUGAGGCGCGAAAGCUAGGGGAGCAAACGGG